ACGGAAGGCAGCAGUGGGGGAUAUUGCACAAUGGGGGAAACCCUGAUGCAGCGACGCCGCGUGAGCGAUGAAGUAUUUCGGUAUGUAAAGCUCUAUCAGCAGGGAAGAAAAUGACGGUACCUGACUAAGAAGCACCGGCUAAAUACGUGCCAGCAGCCGCGGUAAUACGCAUGGUGCAAGCGUUAUCCGGAUUUACUGGGUGUAAAGGGAGCGUAGACGGCAUAGCAAGCCAGAUGUGAAAUGCGGGGGCUCAACCCCUGAACUGCAUUUGGAACUGUUAAGCUAGAGUAUCGGAGAGGUAAGUGGAAUUCCUAGUGUAGCGGUGAAAUGCGUAGAUAUUAGGAGGAACACCAGUGGCGAAGGCGGCUUACUGGACGAUAACUGACGUUGAGGCUCGAAAGCGUGGGGAGCAAACAGGAUUAGAUACCCUGGUA
rnacentral:rRNA from 1 species